GGAAAAUAUUCAAAGUACAGGCAGACACAUACAGAAUCAGAAACAAAAUUACUCACUGUUCAGUCAUUUCUAGACCACCCCGAUAGCAUUCUAGUGUAUGGAGUCGUCUUGCCUUCUCUAGUGCCCCCAAAGGCUUGUCUGUACCCUUCAAGUACAGAUAAGUUCAGUGGCUUUGCCUGUUUACUGCAGUUACUGCUUUCAUGUACUCAAGGACUUAUCAUUAGACAAUGAGGUCUUUCUUUCUUACAGCUUUGUCUGUGUGUUUGUCUUCUGUUUUAUAAUGAAAAUCAAGCGAGAUUUUUAGUUUUCUGAUAUUUCAAGGUUUUGUAAGCCCACUCAGAGGCUUGGCCUAUAUUAUUGAUUUGAUUAAGAUUUAUAGAGAUCUGAUGGUUUUUGUUAAUUAAUGAGGUAGACUGUUUUUUCCUGUAGCUAAACUGUCCUAAGUCAGUUUGUCAGAUUUUAAGUCAUUCUUUCUACAAGAAUAUUAAAAUUAGGUAAUCCUGAGAACUGCUUAGGUUUAUUCAAAUGUAAUUUAUAUUAGAAUCAUAGAAUCUCAGAUACUUAAGGUUCCUUCCACAGCACCCAUGCAGUUAAAAAACAGCUUAAGAGUGCUGAAUGCUUUAAAGCCCUUUCACCCAGCUGUAGGUCCUUAGGAUUAUUUUUUAACUUUUAUGGCAGCUUUGUAUAUGAAUUUUGUGCUGGGCUGGUCUGAGAUGGCUGAUAGAGUAGUCUUGCUAAUAUGGGGACACAUUGGGAAGUUGUUACUGUUAAAAAUUUGAUGCCCUGGUUUAAAUAGGAUAUGUGGGGAGAUCAACUUUAUUUAAAUGCAUCUGGGUUGGCUGGUCUCAUUAUCAUUUCGAGUCUCUACAUUUCAUGUAGAGAAAUGUGUUCUACAUUUUUGUGUUUGGACAUUUCCCCUCACCUACCUUAAAUGUUUCUGUUCUCCCUUAGGAUGUGGUCUACCAAUUGAUAUUGUGACAGAAAAUAGGGAAAAUGGUGACACUUCUGUGGACUGCAUGAAUGAGGAUAUUAACAUCUCAGGCUUAAGAUUUGUUCAGCAUGGUGUUGUAGAAGGAAUCUUAAAAAACACUCAUACAAAGAUAUUUUGUGGAAACUAAGAAGAGGAGUGUCACAUAGGAGAGCCCACUGCUGCAGUGAUGUCUUGGGUCUCUGUGCUCUGAAUCCCUGCUUGGCCAGCCUCCUGGAGGUGAGUGGUCUUGUUUUUCUCUCUUCUCUUUCCCAGCAGGCACUACCUUGACUGACUCCUCUUUCUUCUAUACUGGAGAUUACAGUUAUCCUCGCUUGAGCUUCUGCCUCCAUCUUGUUCACCCUGACCCCACGGGAUGUCAGUCUUGUGAUCCUUCAGAGUCACCCUCAUUCCUACACCAACCCCAAGCAGCUCAUCAGAGCGUAUCCCCCCAAAAACAGGGCUCUGGCUGCUCAAAGAGGAGUCCUGGCAAUUAGAGAUUUCUCCUUUUUAUUGCCUUACUCCCUGGAUCCUUACUUUUCCUCUCUGCUACAUCGGAUGGAGGGUAUUUAUCUUUGCCCGUCCACUUCUGUUCUAGCUCUUAACCUACACAGGUGCUUAAAAGCCACUUGAUUGGAUGAAUGAAUUAGAUAUUUUUCUUGCUGGAGUCUCUGUCAAGAUAGACUGAGGACCCCAAUUCCUACCUGAAAAGAACAUUUCUUGACCACUCUACCUGCCUUUCUCCCACGUCUUUGCCCUGGCUUCCUGAGGGGGCUUGUCUUAUCUAGACCUGAGGGGAAAAGGACAGAAAGAGAGUGAUUGGAAGGAUUAUUUUCUGAACAAUUCCCCUGCCUAGGAACCAAAGGAUGUGAGGUAGCAGGAGGGAGUCAUGAUCAGUAGAGGAGGAAAAUGGAGAAGCAAGAAAAUUCUUACAUAAAACUUUCAAACUUUAGGAGAGGAGAAACUUUAUAUUUCUUAUAUUGUGAAACCUUAGACACUAGAAGCUGUGAAAAGAAAUUUUCCAACUGAGUUUUAGCAGAAUCUAAAGACUGGUGAACCUUUAUGAAAAAAUAUGUUUGGUUGUAGCAGUGAAACUUAACAAGAAUAUAGGCUGCUCAUUAAAUACGCUGCCUGCCUGUGUUCAAAAUUGAAGGGUGUCUUUCUAAAGUUAUACCAUGCUUCAGUGUCAUUCCAAUGUAUUUUCUUAGUCCUUGACAUUUAAUUAUUCACAACUGCUUUUUACUGCCUCAUUUAUAUUACCAUCAUGAAUGUAAUAUUAUCAUGCAAUUAAAUGGCAUAAUAUCUUGCAAAACUCACUGUCUGCCAAGUAGGUUCUAGAUACUGGUUAAAACAGUUGAGUUGGCAAUCAAUGGAACAUUAAAGUAUUUUAUGGGAAUUAAGAAACACAAGAUAUAUUGAAUUUCAAUGGCUGCUAGCUGAAUCCUCUAACUCCUUUGUAAAGCUUGUUAGCCCAGUAUCCAAAUUAAGUCUCCAGCUCUAAAGUCAGACUUCAGAAGCAAAAUCACAUCAGCUGCACUUAAGAAAAACAAGAGGAGAAAAUAAGAGGUAAAGCAAAUUCAAGUAGGUCAGCUUGAAAUCUUUAGGUGGUCUUUGAAUUUGUUUAAAAGAAAGAAGAAUUACAUUACACACAAAAGAAGGGGAUAAAGUAUAGUAUGUAAAUUUAAAAUGCUGCUUUUCAGGCUUCUGGUUUAUUAUCUGGCAGGUUGGAGCUCAGAAGUCUCCACUUUGUUCUAAUAACAAGUGAAAAACUGACUUUAUCAUAGGAUGUUUUUCUCUCCACACACCUUGCCAUUGCAGUACUAAAUGUCUGUUCACCUCAGUUCCUGUACCAAGUAUACCAUGUCCACCUUGCAACAAAAAUUACAGGGCAUACUACAAGGAAAAAAACACAGUUUGAAGAAACUGAACAAGUACCAGAAUCAGAGUCUGAUAUGGCAGGAAUGUUAGAAUUAUCAGCCCGGAAACUUUACAAAUAUGUACAUAAGUAAUAUGCUAAGGGUAUUAAUGAAAAAGUACAUAACAUGCAAGAACAGAUGGAUAAUAUAAGCUGAGGAAAGAUCUUUGAGUAUAUAACAAUAGAAACUGCCAAAACUCAAAAGCAAACAGAAAAAAAAGACUGGGGAAAAAAAAAGAACAGAGUGUCUAAGAACUGUGAGACAACUACAAAAUGUGUAUCAAGGGGCAGAGGGAGGAAUUAAGAAUAUUUUGUUAUUAUAAAACACAUGCACUUUGUGAAGUGCUAUGGUGUUAUCAGAAGGUGGACUUGGAGUAGUUGUAAAUGUAUAUCGAAAACUCUAGGGCAACCAUUAAACAAGUAAAAGAAAUACAGCACACUUAGUGGUGAGAAACUCAAAACUUUCCCUGUAGGAUCAGGAACAAAGCAAAGAAUGUUACCGCUUUUUUUUUUUAACAUUGCACUGAAAGUACAGCUAAUGUAAUAAGACAGGAAAAAAAAACACAAAAAGUAUACACAUUGGUAAGAAAAAAAAUACAACUGUCUUUGCAGAGUAUAAUCCUCUCUGUAGAAAAUCUAAAAGAUUUGGCAAGAAAAUUCUUGGAGUAAGCAAUUAUAGUAAGGUUUCAGGAUUCAAGGUUAAUAUACAAAAGUCAAUUGCAUUUCUAUAUACCAGCAAUGAACAAGUAAAAUUUGAAAUUAAAAACACAAUACCAUUUACAUUAGUACCCUGAACAUUGAAAAUAGCAAAAAUCCAACAAAUUAUAUGUAAGAUCUAUACAAGAAAACUUACAAGACUCAUGAAAGAUAUGAAAGAGCUAAAUAAAUGGAGAGAUAUUCCCUAUUUAUGAAUGAAGAGUCAACAUUGUCAAGAUGUCAGUUCUUCCCAACUCAUCUAUAGAUUAAAUGAAAUCUAGAUAAAAAUCUCA
ensembl:lincRNA